GACGAACCGUGCGAACGUUAUUCGGAAUCACUGGGCUUAAAGGGCGCGUAGGCGGGCCGACGAGCCAGGGGUGAAAUCCUCCAGCCCAACUGGAGAACAGCCCCUGGGACCGGCGGCCUCGAGGGGUGCAGGGGCAUGCGGAACUCAGGGUGGAGCGGUGAAAUGCGUAGAGAUCCUGAGGAACACCGGUGGCGAAAGCGGCGUGCUGGACACCUACUGACGCUGAGGCGCGAAAGCCAGGGGAGCGAACGGG
rnacentral:rRNA from 1 species